rnacentral:lncRNA from 1 species
GGGUAUCACCAAUAAUAUUCCCUAGGAAAAUUAAACUUAUCUGGAAAAAAUUCCAAGAGGUUAAUAAUAACCUUGAAAGUCUUGAAACAACUUUGCAAUUUGCAAAUUAUUAUUCUAUUCCAUGGAUCUUAAGAUGGGAUUACGUUCUUCAAACUCAAAAAAGAGAGAAAAGUGAGUUACAAUUCUCUCCGUCAUUCUUGGUCAGAAGAAUUCUUAUUAAAUGGUGGCCAAAAGAAGACUUUUUUGGAGAAGGAAGAACUUUUGACAGAAGAUGAA